GCCCCGUUGGCGCAGUAGGCAGCGCGUCAGUCUCAUAAUCUGAAGGUCGUGAAGUUCGACCCUCACACGAGGCA